rnacentral:rRNA from 1 species
GAUGAACGCUGGCGGCGUGCCUAAUACAUGCAAGUCGAGCGAAUGGAUUAAGAGCUUGCUCUUAUGAAGUUAGCGGCGGACGGGUGAGUAACACGUGGGUAACCUGCCCAUAAGACUGGGAUAACUCCGGGAAACCGGGGCUAAUACCGGAUAACAUUUUGAACCGCAUGGUUCGAAAUUGAAAGGCGGCUUCGGCUGUCACUUAUGGAUGGACCCGCGUCGCAUUAGCUAGUUGGUGAGGUAACGGCUCACCAAGGCAACGAUGCGUAGCCGACCUGAGAGGGUGAUCGGCCACACUGGGACUGAGACACGGCCCAGACGCCGACGGGAGGCAGCAGUAGGGAAUCUUCCGCAAUGGACGAAAGUCUGACGGAGCAACGCCGCGUGAGUGAUGAAGGCUUUCGGGUCGUAAAACUCUGUUGUUAGGGAAGAACAAGUGCUAGUUGAAUAAGCUGGCACCUUGACGGUACCUAACCAGAAAGCCACGGCUAACUACGUGCCAGCCGCCGCGGUAA